UGGGCGGUAGCCAAGUCGGUAAGGCAACUGAUUCUGAAUCAGUUAUGCCCAGGUUCGAAUCCUGGUCGCCCAUCCA
rnacentral:tRNA from 1 species